UUUUCCUCUUCUUUUCUGCUGGUUUCGCUAAAUGCCUUCUUGAUAAAUACAUAUUUUCAGGACUGUUCAUUGCUUAAAUAGUUUCAAUAUUCUGGUAGGAUAUGAACUUCAAAAAUUUUGUGGAGGAGCUAAUAGUUCGAAGCUUCAGUUUUCUAAAUUUUUUGUUUGAUAGGAAAGCAAUAAUAGAUCACUAACUUUCUUGUGAAUUUUUUUCUGUUAAUGGGCACAUUUUAUGCCUAAAAGAUAUUGGUAGAAGAUUGUCCACUCUGGUUUUUAUUCCUGAGGGACUUUUGUUGUACAGCUAUGUUGCUAUAAUUUCUUAUCUUUUUUUCUGUUUUAGAGCUCAAUGUUUUCUCUGCAUCUUGCUCUCUUUUUCUUUCUUUCUGGUUCAGUAUUUUCAACGACUCACUGAAAUUGAAAACUAUUUGGUAGACGAGGACACAGUUUGCAAUCUUCAAGGUGUGAGGGGAUUAUGGGUUGGCAAGCUAGUACUCUUACCAGGCUUUUUCUCUUGAUGUUGUUAUGGAAAUACUAGUCUUUGUAGUCAUGUGAAGGUAAGCGUGGGAGGAUUCGAUUUUCAGAAGUUUGCCAACAACUCAAAUUUCAGAAGGUUGUAGUUUGCAUUAGGUGAGACUUUUAAAAGGUUUUGGCUUAUUAUGGUGGGAUAGACUGAUGCAACUGUCAUUCUCUUACGAGGAAAGUAUUUUCAGCUCUGACACAACAUUUCCUGAGGAAAUACUAGUCUUUGUAGGCAUGCGGCGGUGAAGGUGAGCAUGGGAGGAUUCGGUUUUCAGAAGGUUGCAAACAACUGAAAUUUCAGAAGGUUGUAGGUUGCAUUAGGUGAGACUUUUAAAAGGUUUUGGCUUAUUAUGGUGGGAUAGACUGAUGCAACUGUCAUUCUCUUAUGGGGAAAGUAUUUUCAGCGUUCACACAACAUUUCCCGAGGAACGUCUCAUCAGGGCUUUGCCUUUUCAUUCUUUUUGGUUUUUUUUGCCCCAAAAUCUCAAUGAACCGGGAGGAAUCAAGUUUUUGUUAUUUUGAAUGGUUUGGAUAACUGAACAGCACUUGAAUGGCUUAAUCUGUUAUAGUGAUCCAAGCAUAGGAAGUGAAUUGAUGAAAAUUCUUGAUCCCUUGCCAAGGGGAAAAGGCCUGUGCUGUAGGUGGCAGCAUAUUAUUUGGUCAGGUUAUUUUGUUAGUAGCGACAACACAUUUGACAUAGCAUCAUUGUGUAUUUAGGAGGUCGUUCCUUGAAAGGGAAUUUAGUGUAUAGUUCAUGUAUGGUUUUUGAAUCAUCUGGAAUUUUGUAUUUGACUAAAUCUCUUUGUUUAAAAA